rnacentral:rRNA from 1 species
UAAGGAAUAUUGCGCAAUGGGCGACAGCCUGACGCAGCGACGCCGCGUGGGGGAUGAAGGUCUUCGGAUUGUAAACCCCUUUCGGCAGGGAAGAUGGAACGGGUAACCGUUCGGACGGUACCUGCAGAAGCAGCCACGGCUAACUUCGUGCCAGCAGCCGCGGUAAUACGUAGGGGGCAAGCGUUGUCCGGAAUCAUUGGGCGUAAAGCGCGUGUAGGUGGCUUGGUAAGUCCGGUGUGAAACCUUGGGGCUCAACCCCAAGCCUGCAUCGGAUACUGCCUCGCUCGAGUUCGGGAGGGGAGAGCGGAAUUCCUAGUGUAGCGGUGAAAUGCGCAGAUAUUAGGAAGAACACCGGUGGCGAAGGCGGCUCUCUGGAACGAUACUGACACUGAGACGCGAAAGCGUGGGUAGCGAACAGGAUUAGAUACCCCCGUAGUCCCUGAGCGGGCUGGCAAGGCGCAU